GUGAGGAAUAUUGGACAAUGGGCGCAAGCCUGAUCCAGCCAUGCCGCGUGCAGGAAGACGCAUCUAUGGUGUGUAAACUGCUUUUGUACGGGAAGAAACACUCCCUCGUGAGGGAGCUUGACGGUACCGUAAGAAUAAGGAUCGGCUAACUCCGUGCCAGCAGCCGCGGUAAUACGGAGGAUCCAAGCGUUAUCCGGAAUCAUUGGGUUUAAAGGGUCCGUAGGCGGUUUAAUAAGUCAGUAGUGAAAGCCCAUCGCUCAACGAUGGAACGGCCAUUGAUACUGUUAGACUUGAAUUACAAGGAAGUAACUAGAAUAUGUAGUGUAGCGGUGAAAUGCUUAGAUAUUACAUGGAAUACCAAUUGCGAAGGCAGGUUACUACUUGUGGAUUGACGCUGAUGGACGAAAGCGUGGGGAGCGAACAGGAUUAGAUACCCCUGUAGUCC
rnacentral:rRNA from 1 species